CCACGGUUUCACUCGCAGACAGGACUGCUCUAUCUCCUCUCUCUGCUCUGCUCUGCUCUCUCUCUCUCUCUCUCUCUCUCUCUCUCUCUCUCUCUCUCUCUCUCUCUCUCUCUCUCUCUCUGUGGUCUGCGAUGGGGCGAUGCCCUACACCUCCUUCCCCCCAAUUCACCUUCUCUCAUCUGCUCUCUCUCUCUCUCUCUCUGCUCUGCUAUGCCCUAGCCCCUAUCGGAAUCUCUCUCAUCUCUCUCUGUGCUAUCUGCGAUACCGAACGGUGGAAGUGUUUGGCUAGAUAUCUUUUCUUUUUGGGUUCUAUUACGUUUGGCUAAUUUGCACUGAACAACACAGAAUGGGGCAACACAGGCUCAAAGGUUUUCUUGAAGCUCUUUUGCUAUAAAACCAUCAGAAAUUCGCAAAUCAGUUUGGAAAUAGCUUCUAGCCUAGCCAGAAAAAUGGGUAUCAGAAUUGGGGGUCACAUAGAGAAGGUGAAUGCGAAAGAACUGAGUUAUAGUGAGUUUGUGCUGAAAUACAUGGGAAAGAACCAGCCAGUGGUGAUGAUGGGUCUUAUGGAUGAUUGGAAAGCUUGUAAAGAUUAGGUCUUUGUUCAUAGCUGAUUACUUGUAUAAGUUGAUGCCACUGCAAGUGUAUCGUUCCUGCGUAAUUAGGCUCCACCUAAUGAUUUGAUUCAAUUAAAUUUUAGUUGACCUAUCCACAAAACGAGAAAGGACUCGGCAGCAUGAUGGAUUUAUUUGUCACUUUUGAUUUGCCUUAAGGGUCUGUUUGGAGUUCAAUCUUCCACUUCUAUUUCUUUUGUUCAUGCCAUACAUACUGUCGAGUUGGAAAAUAUCAUGAGGGUUUGAUUUUUUUAUUUUUUUGGUCCUCCUAAUGCAAGUAAUGCGACAUGAAUACAUUUGAACUUCUGGCAUGACCAUAAUCCAUAAGAAACCUUCAAUUGAGGAAGCGUAAGAGAUGCUUGUCUGUGUACUGGGACACCAUUAGUGAGAGACGAUGCUAAACAUAUGUUAUUCUGUUAUUUAUUUCUAACAUCUGUGUUUAAGUUAGUCUUAUUAGAGUUCGUUUCAAGGCUUUAGGCCUAUUUACCUGUACAUAUUCAUGUCAUCUCUGCCAUUGACAUGAAUAUGUUAUGAAUUAGAAAGCAAGGAAGCACUAGGUUUUUUGUUUAUUUUUCUGUACUUAAUCUAAAUGGAAGCAUUAGGACUACCAGCACCUGAGACUGUUGGUUGCAUCUCCCAGCUCAAAUAGAAGAUGUCAGGUAAUAUAUUCACUGAAUGAAUAUUUGUGUUCAUAUAUGUUUCCAAUUUAUUUGAUAGAAAAGAAAAUAAAUUAAUGUGCUCAUUUAAUUUGCAUGCUAACAAACAUUGCCAGAAAAUUUACACUUCCAAAAUAUAUAUAUUUUAUUUUCCUUGCUAAGUAAUAUGGUUUUGUGAUUUUCGGAGAUUAAAAAAAUUGUGGACUUUGAAUGUGCAUUCAAGAAGAUUUGCAGCAUCAUCAAAGAGGAAGGAGGUUCAGAGGAAGGAGGUCUAGAAGAUUUUUCAAAGUUGUGUUUUGUAAUUCAUAUGUUGUAAUUUUGUGUUUGUUAAUGUAUAAAUACUAAAAAAUCUAAUAUGUAGUUUGCAUUGUAUUUGCAUGUAA